rnacentral:RNase_P_RNA from 1 species
CGGGCCGGACAGACAGCCGCCGCGCAGUGCGUAAGGCCUGCGGGGAGGAAAGUCCGGGCUGCACAGGGCAGGAUGCCGGCUAACGGCCGGGCGCGGCAACGCGACGGAAAGUGGAACAGAAAGCAAAACCGCCGACGGCUUUCGCAAGAAAGAACGGGCAAGGGUGAAAAGGUGCGGUAAGAGCGCACCGUGCACUUGGCAACAAGGCGCAGCAGGCCAAACCCCAUCCGCAGCAAGACCAAACAGAACGCAAAGACGCGGCCCGCCGAGCGUUCGGGUAGGUUGCUGGAGCGUAUCAGCAAUGGUGCGCCUAGAGGAAUGGCUGUCCGCGACAGAACCCGGCUUACCGCCCGACCCGUAUG